rnacentral:lncRNA from 1 species
UUUUUUCUAGAUUCUACAUCUUCAUGUCUUUCUGUAACUGAUUCCUCUGGGAAAAAAAAAUCAAACCAAAAAUAAAUGAAAAAAAAACAAAACAAAAAAGUUUAAAACCAUGUUUUUAAAGAAGUUUAAAAAGUCAAUAUGAAGGUGCAGGCAGUGCAUUCUGUGGAAAAAGUCAUUAAAAAUUAGUCACAAAUUAUUAAUUCAUCUCACUUUGAGGAAAAAGCAAUGAUGAGG